rnacentral:rRNA from 1 species
GGGAUGAAUUUAAAGUCGGGCCUGCCCACUGAAUUAUUUUGAAGGGCCGCGGUAUUUUGACCGUGCAAAGGUAGCAUAAUCAUUAGUCUUUUAAUUGAAGGCUGGAAUGAAUGGUUUGACGAAGUAUUAGCUGUCUCUUUAUAAAAAUUUGAAUUUAACUUUUGAGUCAAAAGGCUUAAAUGAUAGUAGAGGACGAGAAGACCCUAUAGAGUUUUAUAUAAAUAAUAAAUAAUUUUAUUUUAGUAGUUGUAAGUUUUAAUUAUUAUUUGUAUUAUGUUGGGGUGACAUAAAGAUAUAAGAAACUCUUUAUUAUUAUAAACAUAAAUUUAUGAAUAGAUGAUCCAUUAUUAAUGAUUAGAAGAUAAAAUUACCUUAGGGAUAACAGCGUAAUUUUCUUUGAGAGUUCGUAUCGAAAAGAAAGUUUGCGACCUCGAUGUUGGACUAAGAUAAUGGUUUGGUGUAGCAGCUAAAUUAAUAAGUCUGUUCGACUUUUAAUAUCUUAC